rnacentral:lncRNA from 10 species
GAGGGCCUAGCCUGGGCCCCUGUGGCUUUAUCCCGCCUCUGUGGUAGGACCUAGGUCCCUCCCAUGAGCCACCUCCCUCCUGCCAUCUCCCAGAUCUCGGAGACGACGAGAAAGAGAACAGACCACCUGUCCAGAUAAUUUGCCUUUGGAGUCUGCAGGGCUGGUGAAGGCAUCCUGAGAUGGGGGAGGCCCCUGGGGACCUCCACAGUCAGGGCUCCCACCUCCUCUCCCACACCGCUCUGCCUCAUGCCCUGGGUUGCCUGUCUGACUGUCUCAAGACUGGGGGUUCUCCGGUGAGCAGAUGGCUGCUUAGCGUCUGAGGGGCAGACACCAUGCCGUGGUGACAGCGUGAUCCCUUGAUGGAAAGGCCACCAGAACCACUGGUAGUGCAGCUGGACACUGCGGAGCCCUGGGACCACACCCGCUGCCUCCCUCCAGACUCCUUAGGUCUAUGCCGUGUGCCUGGCUUUUUCCAACCACUCCGAAUUGAUCAUUUCCUAAUGACCACAUGGCUCAGAAACUCACAGCACAUCCUUCUAGGGGCCUCUUUCUCCCAAGUCCUCCCAGGGACUUGGCAGCUUCAUCUCUAAGGCCUGCAGAGGCUGUGGCUAUGGCUGUCCAUUGUUCUCGCUCCUUGGCUUCAGUUCAGAGCCAUCAAAUCCCUGCAGCUCGCACACUGGAACAUUCAUAUUUUGGAUAAGUCAACAAAACAGCUUCUAGAAAAUGGAAAACCCAGAGUGUGAUCUACCAGGAGCUCCUGGUUUCAACCAGUUCCUUGCUGUACCUGCUGGGCCUGUGAUACGAAGAAACAUCAUGGCUUCAAUGGCAGCCUUGGAAAUGAACUUCAUUGAAAGGGAAUUUACACUGAGGUUUAUGAUUGCUGCUAUGAAAAGAGUGCACAUCCUUUCCUUCGAAACACAAGACUAGAAAAAAAAAACUCUAAAAUUCAUACGGAACCACAGAAGACCCUGAAUAGCCAAAGCAAGCUUGAGAAAAAAGAUUUAAAAGAAAAGCUGGAGACAUCACAGCUCUUAGGUCAAAUUAUACUACAAAACUAUGGUAAUCAAAACACUAAGGUACUGGCAUAAAAACAAAUACGUAGACAAAUGGAACAAAACAGAUAGCCCAGAAAUAAGCCCAACCAUACAUGGUCAACUAGUUUUCCACAAAGGCACCAAAGAAUCAUAAUGAGGAAAGGAUGGCCUCUCCAAUAAAUGACCUUGAGAAAACUGUAUAUCCACAUGCUAAAAAAAGAAAAAAAAAAAAAAAAAGGAAAUUGGACCCUUCUCUUCCAACAUGCACAAAAAUCAACUCAAGAUGGACUAAAGACCUAAAUGUAACACCUGAAACCAUAAAAGUCCUAAAGGAAAACACACAAGAAAAACUCUAUGACAUUGGCCUUGGCAGUGAUGUUUUGGAUAUUUCAAGUUAACUCGUCAUUCACUGACUCCACAUAAAAUCCAUCCCUCAAAUAUUCUCAGAACCUAUCACCAAGACUGUGAUCACUUCUUUGGGAUGCUUUAAAGUUAAUUAGGAAAAAUAAAACUGGGUUUUACCUUUGAAAAACUUUCUAACUGUACUGAUGUGCUCAAAUAGAUGGACACAUGAAUGAAAAAUCCAGAAUUUAUUCUUUCCAUGUGGUCUAGGUCCCUCCAUAUGUUUCUCUGGAUUUUGCCAUUCACUGAAUGCACACGAACACUGAAUUUACUCUCUAUUGCUGUGUAACAAGUUAUUGUAAAAUGUAUUGGCUUAAAACAACAAAUACCAUUUUUGCAGCUUCUGUGGAUCAGGAAUCAUGAAGCAGCUUAGUCGGGUAUUUCAGGCUCAGGGCCUCUCAUGAGGUUGCACUGUAGAUGUGAGCCAAGGCUGCCGUCAUCUGAAGACUGGACUAGGGAUGGAAGCUCUGCAUUUGGGAUCAUACUCAUGGCUGUGGCCCGGAGGCCUCAUUUUUUCACCCUUGGGCCUCUCCGUGGGGCUGCUGCCAACAGGGCCUCCCUAGAAGGAAUGACCCAAGAAGAAGAAAGAAAGACCAAGCUAGAAACCACCGUGUCUUUCAUAACCCAAUAUCAGGAAUGAAGAAGCACCUCUUCUGUGUUCUUUUGGUCUCGCAGACCAACCCUGGUACCAUGUGGAAGGAAAUUACACAAGAGUGUGACUAUCAGGAAUUGAGGAUCACUGGGGCACCUGGAGGCUGGAGUCUACAGGUACUUUAUGGCGAGUCAUGGCGAUGGUGAGGAAGCAGCUACUUUCAUCACAGGCCUUUGCUGUCAGUGGAAUACAGCAACACACAAGACAGACACAGUUGCCUUCCCGCUGAGGCUGGACGUCUACAAAGAAACUCUGGACAGCUAUUUGCCAAGGCGAUGGGCACUACAGAUGAGACGCACAAAUGAUAUGACUCAUGGGUGACGCUGGGCAAACCUCGGUGGUUGAGUCCUGUUGGGUUUUCUCAUAGGAGGUGCUUCCAGGAACAUUCUUGUGCAAGACCGUGUGAGAGUAUCUCCAAGAUAGACAAGUGGAAGUGAAAUUCUGGGCCAUAGUGGAUGAACACUUGCCAAGAGAGCUUUCCAAGGUGAAAGUGUUGGACACUCUUUCUUCAUCUCAGAUUUAAUCAACUAAGAAUGCUGCAAAUUGAACACCAGUCCACAAAACUCAGGAAUACAUGAAAAGCAUUGUGCCUUAUUUUUAACUAACUCAAAUUCUAUGUCAGUCUCCCUUUUAUGCUGGAUGUUGGCGCUAAAUCUCAGUGGGUUCCUCAUUCUGCCAGACCUGUGUCCAGUUUGGGGGCUUCACAUAGAGCCACCCCAUCACAGGAGAGGGAAGGGUCUUGCUCUUGGUUGCCAUCACUCCACCCUCUUGUCUUCCGAGCUUUGAUGUUCACUUUCCUUUUCACCACUCGGAAGCUUCCUGCCAUGAUACAUUGAGACCUCAAUGUUAAUGCCAAUUGGGGUUUGGGGUUCUCAUAAACUCAGAAGUCCAGGAAAAUCGCCUGCUGCCUCCCACAACACUCUGAGGGCAUUCUGGAAUCCUACCACUUACCUGGAGCCUGCUGGCCUCAACUGUUUUGAAGUCUGUGUCUGGGCCAUGCAGGUAAAUGGGAGGAUGUUCUGUGGCCAUAAAAAUACCCGAAGUCCCACCUAAAGUUGAUGCAGGGUCUUCUGCAUUUCAUUGCAAAAUUGUUCUAUCAUUUCUAUAGUUUUCAGCCUACAGUCAGGGGCCAGGACUUUGCACCCUUGGUAAACCUCAAUCUCUUCUCCUUCCUGGCUUCUACUCCUUUCUCCCUCAAUCCCAAAUCAAGGCCCUUGAUUGUCUGGAGGUAGGAAAGCCUGGUUCUGGCUCAUGAUAUAGUCUACAUCAUAGCCUUUGUCAUCUCAUGGAUUCACUCAACAACCGUGUGUGGAUGGGGCCACCCAAUAUGUGCCAGGAGUUGAGGACACGCAGGGUUAUGAUGAUGAAAUAGAUAAGGGGCCCACACUCACGGACCCUGCAGGACAGUGGAGCUGUGGACCCAGCAUGCGAGUAAAGACCCAGUGAGCUCACCAGACAGAUCAUUUAAAUCAGGUGAUAGGACAGUGAAGGGCGGGGGCUGCAUUAGUUUUGGUGGCAAGAGAAGGAUUAUCUUCUGAGAGGAUCCACAAAGUAAAGAGGGCCGGUAUGACUGGGUAGAGUGAGGACCGUGGUUGAGGCAGAAGAUGGAGCUCUUUAUUGAGCUCUAGGGAGCCCGUCGGAUGGGACCUACGGGGCUUGAGGGAGCCCAUCGGAUGGGACCUACGGGGCUUGAGGGAGCCCAUCGGAUGGGACCUACGGGGCUUGAGGGAGCCCAUCGGAUGGGACCUACGGGGCUUGAGGGAGCCCAUAGGAUGGGACCUACGGGGCUUGGCGGACUUAAUUUUAAAUGUGGAAGAAGCCAUUGCAGAGCCUGAACCUGAGGUGUGGCAUGGUUCGAGUUACUUCAAACCAAAUUUAUUGAAAUCUCUUUGCAUAAAAUGCAAUGCGUAGAUCUUAAGAGUAUAGUUCAAUGAGAUUUGAUAAAUGUAUGCACCAGUGUAACAACUCCUCCAGUCAAGAUAAAGAAACGUCCCUCACUAUUUCCUCAUGCCCCUUCAUAGUCAAUAUCUGAUCCACUCAGCCUAGGCAACCAUUGAUCUGCUUUUAUCACCAUAGAUAUUUGGGUAUGAGUCUUUGUAUGAUCAGCUAUUUUUAUGUUGCUUGGGUAAAUAUUUAGGAAUAGAACUGCUGAGGCCAAGGAUAGAAUAUUUAACUUGAUUGCCGACUGUUUUUCCCAAGUGGUUGUACCACGUUCUGCCUCCACCAGCAUGUGUGAGUUUCCAGGGCUUCUUGUCCUUGCCAGAUACCAGGUGGUUGCAUGCCGUGUCCCAGUGGCUGUUGGGAAUCACAGUAGCUGGGCCCAAGAUGACUCUGGAGGACUUUACAUUUGCGCCCAUCUGUGGGUCCUCCUAUGCCAGUGUUUCCCAAAGCAUGGGCCAUGCGCAUUAUUCUUUCCAAAAUGAUGUCAUAUGGUGCAUAGGAAUGUCAUGGAAUACAAUGGAAUCACUCUGGAAGGAACUUUUCCCUUCUCAGGUGUUGUUUGAAUAUUCCUGAUGUGAUCGAGGAGAUUAACUGCUACUUAACAUCUCUGCACCGCUUGCUAAACUCCUUGUUAAAAUUAUGCUUUUUAUUUUGAAGGAGUUCUAGAUUCACAUGCGUUGUAAGAAAUAACAGAGAGAUUGCAUGUACUCUUCACCCAGUUUCUCCCAAUGGUAACAUCUUGCGAAACUAUGGUGCAAAAUCAAAACCAAAUCUCUUUUUAUAACAAAGAGAGGGUUCCCACCUCAAGCUCAGAUCCUUCCCUGUGUAGCUAGAACUUAGUAACAGUGUUUUAUUUUAUUAUAUUCAGUUUCAAGGGUUACAUUCUAUUUAUAACAAAUGAUACUGGUUUUCCCUUUACAAUAAUGAUAAAAUUUUAUUACUGAGUAAAUUGAUUUAUGUUUAAAAAUUGAGUUAUUUUAAAGAAUAUAUUAUAUAAAUGAUUGUGCUAGCUGUAUGAAAAUGAAAGUGAAUGAUACAUAAUUGAAUUUCAGGAAACACUGAAAACACUGAAGCUACACUAUCAAAUGGAAUGCUUUCCAGACCCUACUUUUUCUACAUUGAACAACUACUAUGAAUCUGAUACAUCAUGAAUAAACCCAUCAAUUCACUGCAUUUAUGCACGCAAUCGAUAUUUAUUGAGGGCCUUAUGAAUGUAACGAUUUUUCUGGGCCUUGAGGAUGACACAAAGAUGAAACAAAUCAGACAGAUAUCCUAAAUUCAAAUAAUGCAUAGCCUUGCAGGGAGACAUUCAUUCACUCCAUGAAUAUUUAUGAGCACCUGGCAGGUGGCAGGUGUAUUCUAAAAAUGAGGAGGAAGCAGCAGAGGCCAGUGGAGUGCAGCUGUUUGGGGGUUCACAUGUCACUGGUAAGACAGACAAAGAGCAGGAUUCAUGGCAUUUUCUAUGAAGAUGACAAAACUUCAUGGAAAAGUAAAUGCUUGGGGAGGAGACAUGGGGAGGCCUUGUUGUACAGGCAGGUCAGGGAUGGUCUAGCUGAGGAGGAGGCACCAGAGCUGAGGCUGACAUAAGAGAAGGAGCCAAACAUGCAAAGAAGCAGUGGGAAAGUGCUCCAGGCACAGCAACAGCAAAUGCCAAGGCUGUGAGCUGGGCAUGAAACGGGUAUAAUUAUUACACAGUAGCUCUAAUUCAGGAAGGAGGAAGGGCCAAGUGUCUGGAAGAUGCAGAGUUUGGAAUAUGGAAGGGAACAGGCAAAGCUGGAAACAGUCUGAGCCCAUAAAGGCUGCACAUCAGCUCUGUAGCCAUCGGUGGAGCUGAAAGAGACAGGACAAAGGCUCAUAGGAAAGGCAGGACCUGUCCUGAGCUUGAACAACAGAGACGACCUUGAGAAACCUAUUUGCAAAAUGCUUCAAGCAUAAAUGCCAUUUCCUACUAUAACUUUCCAUAGUAGCAGGUUGAAUUGAAUCCCCCAAAAUAUUACAUUCAAAUCCUAACCCCCAGUAUCUAUGAAUGUGCCUUUAUUUGGAAACAAUCUCUUUGUAGAUGUCAUCAAGUUAAGAUAACAUCAUACAGGAUUAGGGUGGGCCCUAAAUCCAAUGAUGUCCUUUUAAAAAGCUGGACACAGAAACACAGAGAGGAGAAUGCCAGUCUAAAGUGGAGGCAGAGCUUGGAGGGAUAUGCCUACAAUAAAACAAGAAACACCAAGGAUUUCUGGAGCCAAGAAAGAGGAAUGGAACAGAUUCUCCCUCAAAGCCCUCGGAAGGAACCAACCCUGCCAACUCUUGACUUCCAACUUCUGGCCUCAAGAACUGAAAUAACACAUUUCUGUGGUUUUAGUCCCCCAAGCUGUGGCAACUAUCUUCAGCAGCCCCAGGACGCUAACAUAGCUCUGCUUCCCUUUGCAGAGCUGGGCAGGGAUUCUGCCACCUGAGGGUUUGGCAUCCAAUUCUUCUGUGAGAUAUUUACUCUUAGUGCCUUAGGCGCCAAUUAUUGUCUUUGAUUAAUUUCAGGGCCUCAAAUUGUGAACCCCUCAGUUUUUCUAACAAUGCCCCUCCUAACCCCAGUCAAGGCCAGCAGUGUUGAAGGGUUCAUUGGGAGGGGACCUGCACUGGCUGUUUGGACUAUCAGCUCCACCAGUGCCUACUGUGGCCUGUGCUUUCUUAGCACAUUUUUAAAGAAAUAAGCUAUUGAACUUGUUGAAAUAAUAAAACAACCCAGGAAUCACCUGAUCCAAAUAAACAAACACCAAUUAACUGCCACUGUGGUGGGCAGAUUCUAGGAUGGUCCAAAUGCUACAGCCUUCUGAAAUUCACAUCCUGGAGUGAUCUCUUCACAAGUGUGGGAUGGACCUAGUGACUGGCUCCUAAUGAGCAGAAUAUGGUAGAAGGGAUAAGACGCUGCUUCUGAGAUUGGGUCAUAAAAAGGCUGUGGCUUUUGCCUUGGGCACUCUCUCCUGGCCACAUCCUAAGGCAGUCUCACAGACAGGCUCACUUGGUCAGGAAUGGUGGCCUCCCUACAGACACAUGAAUGAGCUUGCAAACAGACCCCAGUCAGCCUUGAGGUAACUGCAGGCCCAGUAACACCUGGGUGCAGCCUGGUGAGAGACCCCAAGCUGGAACCACCUAGCUCAGCCAUACCCAGAUUCCCAGCCCAUAGAAACUACAAGAUAAUAAAUGUUUGUUGUUUUCAGCCACUAGGUUGUUGGAAUAAUCAGCUAUUCAGCAAUAGAUACCCAGCGUCCUCACUGUGGGGCUGCAGAGUGCUUUGAAUACCAAAAUGUUUAUUAAAGAGGAAAAUUAUCUUGGAUGAGCAUAGAUCAGAUAAGGUCAGAUUAGGGUGCUGUACUUCAUUCAUUCAUUCAGUUAGGUACACUUCAUUCAUUCAUUCAGUUAGCCAGUCAGCCACACUCAUUCCUUUAUUCAUGCUGCUAUGUGCCAAGUAUUGUCCUGGGCACUGGAGAUAAUGAAAAUAAAAACAGCCCCUGUCCAUAAUGACAUCAUAGUCUAAUGAAGAUGACAGGGCAUAUUUAAAUAAUUGCUUUUGUGAGAUAAAUGCUAACAUAUGUUCAGUCACUUUUUCAACCAACAGACAUUUUCUGAGUGCUUGCCAUUGUGCCAACCUUGUGCUAAAUGCUGGGCUUCAUACCAUGGGCAAGACUGGCCUGGGUCCUUUUCUCGUGGAGGCCAUGGUCUGCGUAGGAGGCACUUCACCCUCCAAGUACACACAGGGAAAGAAUAACUGCUCUGUCUGGUCUUAAGGGAGGGCUUCCAAAACGAAGUUCUUGAAGGAAGCCUUGAAAAAAGAGUAGGAAGUACUCUUGUUCCAGUAGUUCUGGCAGAAGAAUGGGAAGGAAAUUCCAAGGAACAGAAUGUGUGUUACUUGGAAGCAUGUGACAAUGUGGUGUGUCUGUGUCUGCAGUCCAGCAAGGAGUUCGACCUCGCUGAAUACUUUGCCUCUGAUACCACAAAGAAGGGUGCUUCUGGAUGUUUACUGCAGCAAGACUUGCAACCCUGGACACUAAGCUACCACCUGAAUGUUCGUGGGUGCCUGUUGUCUACUCAGGAUCCACACCAUGGGCACCACUGUCCCCAAGGAGGGAAGGUAGAGCCCUCCCAGGGUUCUCAGCCUCAGUAUUACUGACUCACUCUGUUGAUAGCCUGUCCUGUGCAGUGUAGGAUGUUUAGCAACAUCCCUGGCCUCUGCCCACUAGAUGCCAGUAGCUCCCCCUCCCACAUUGUGACAACCAACAUUUUCCCUGGGUAUCACCAAAUGUCCCCUGGGUGGGGGCAAAAUUGCUCCCAGGUGAUAAUCACUGCUCUUUAGAACCAACAUAUUAUUAAAAGACCAGAGAAAGACAUGAUCUUAAUUCCUAAUUCUAUGUAAAAAAAAAAGAAAAGUGAAUGUAUGUGCAUGCCCAUAGCUAUAGGAAUUGAUGGCUAAGGUCUAUGGAGCACACUCUUAUGCUCCCCAAGGUUAAAGAAUUUCCAUGAGGAGACAGUGGUGUGACAGAGACACUCAAAGGAGGGUUUAGCCUCUUUCACUCAGUGUACUCUGCAAUGAUUAAAUUGAUUAUAAUAAGAAUGUUUCCAUGUUAUCAGUUGUUUAAAGAAGUUCAAAUAUGCCCUACUCUUAUGGCCAAAGGUAUUUGUAAACAUGUCAAAAAUGGCUAUGGAAGGUCUUGGCAGCAAAGACAGGAAAAGUUAGAAAGUAUAUGUGAGUUCCCUGAGACGGAAGGGAGAAAAACAACGCCAAACUGAAGAUAAGUGUAUCAGUUAUUGCCUACAUGCCAGGAAUACCAUAUGAGAGUUUAAGAAGUUAAAAUAGGCCGGGCGUGGUGGCUCACACCUGUAAUCCCAGC